rnacentral:piRNA from 1 species
UAGUCAGAUACCCUCUGCUUCCUGUUG